rnacentral:lncRNA from 1 species
UUUCUCAUAGAGGAUGUGUCAUCAUGCUUUGUCUUCUAGUCAUCAAGUUUGAAUGUGCAAGUACGUGUAUGUCUAGUGCUCCAGAAGAAUGUCCUAAGCUGUUUUGUAAAUGUCAAAAGAAAUCGAAUGGAAAAGCCGUGUGUUCAGGCCGAUCUUUAAAUUACAUUCCAAGACUUCCAAAAUAUGUUCGGUCUGUUAUAUUCACGAAUACAAGUAUAAGAGCAAUAGACAAAUGUGGAUUGGUCAAUUUAACAUUUCAACAAAUAGAAAAAAUAAACUUCACUGGUAAUGAUUUACACAGUAUUGACAAGGACGCAUUUCUAAAUUUGACUUUCCUAGCUUCGCUUAUUGUAUCAUCGGAACCUCAUUUGAAUAUUUCUGCCCUUAAAUUGUCUUUUCAGAGUUUGCCAAAGUUAAAGAUUUAUGAAUUAGGCUUCAAUUUUAAUUUGUGGAAAUCCCUUCCUAGAGAUAUGUUUAACAAUUAUCAUGUAAGCAAUGUUAAGCAUUUGAUUUUGCAAGGCAAUAGCUUUACAUAUAUUAACUUUACGACAUUCAAAACCAUGUCAGGUUUAAAAGAAAUAUCUCUUGCCAAUAACGAAAUAAGCCAUGUUACUUUAACCAAGUUAACUUCAUUAACCAACUUGGAUAUGAGUUCAAAUCAGCUUCCAAGUGUUCCGAUAUUUUGUGGAAGAAACAACACUAGUUAUUUUCCUAACUUGGAUACCAUAAUUUUAAGUCGAAACAUUAUUGGAUUUCUUGGAACCAAAUCAUUCCGUUGUUUACCAAAACUUUCAACGAUAUACUUGGAUUAUACAAGUAUUGGUAAACUUCAAGAUAAUGUGUUUGCCUCUCUACCAUCUCUACGAGCGUUACAUUUGCUUAGAAUCGGUAACCCUUUACGAUAUAUUUCACAAAACGCGUUCAAUAGUUCUUCGUUAGAGACAUUGAUGUUGCAGGGUUCACACUUUCAUUUUGAGAAACAGCACAGAUACCAUGCAAACAGAAUCUUUGCUUCUUGUCCAAAUCUACAACACUUAGACCUCACAAACAACUUUAUGCCAUCUGAUGAAUCAAUCUUCCAAACGAUUUUUAGGC